UGGUGUGGGAAAGGUCCAACCUCACAUGUCCUGUGUGGCUGAAGGAAGGCUGUGUGAGGUCAGACCUAUCCCACACGG
rfam:Salmo salar isolate Sally breed double haploid chromosome ssa20, whole genome shotgun sequence.